GACGGUCUUGCUGUCACUUAUAGAUGGAUCCGCGCUGCAUUAGCUAGUUGGUAAGGUAACGGCUUACCAAGGCAACGAUGCAUAGCCGACCUGAGAGGGUGAUCGGCCACACUGGAACUGAGACACGGUCCAGACUCCUACGGGAGGCAGCAGUAGGGAAUCUUCCGCAAUGGGCGAAAGCCUGACGGAGCAACGCCGCGUGAGUGAUGAAGGUCUUCGGAUCGUAAAACUCUGUUAUUAGGGAAGAACAUAUGUGUAAGUAACUGUGCACAUCUUGACGGUACCUAAUCAGAAAGCCACGGCUAACUACGUGCCAGCAGCCGCGGUAAUACGUAGGUGGCAAGCGUUAUCCGGAAUUAUUGGGCGUAAAGCGCGCGUAGGCGGUUUUUUAAGUCUGAUGUGAAAGCCCACGGCUCAACCGUGGAGGGUCAUUGGAAACUGGAAAACUUGAGUGCAGAAGAGGAAAGUGGAAUU
rnacentral:rRNA from 1 species